rnacentral:rRNA from 1 species
CAGUCGCCACGGGAAUACGGAGGGUGCAAGCGUUAAUCGGAAUUACUGGGCGUAAAGCGCACGCAGGCGGUUUGUUAAGUCAGAUGUGAAAUCCCCGAGCUUAACUUGGGAACUGCAUUUGAAACUGGCAAGCUAGAGUCUUGUAGAGGGGGGUAGAAUUCCAGGUGUAGCGGUGAAAUGCGUAGAGAUCUGGAGGAAUACCGGUGGCGAAGGCGGCCCCCUGGACAAAGACUGACGCUCAGGUGCGAAAGCGUGGGGAGCAAACAGGAUUAGAUACCCCUGUAGUCCCUGUCUCUUAUAA